rnacentral:rRNA from 1 species
AUUGAACGCUGGCGGCAUGCCUUACACAUGCAAGUCGAACGGCAGCACGGGAGCAAUCCUGGUGGCGAGUGGCGAACGGGUGAGUAAUGUAUCGGAACGCGCCCAGCCGUGGGGGAUAACGUAGCGAAAGCGACGCUAAUACCGCAUACGAUCUGUGGAUGAAAGCGGGGGACCGUAAGGCCUCGCGCGAUUGGAGCGGCCGAUAUCAGAUUAGGUAGUUGGUGGGGUAAAGGCCUACCAAGCCGACGAUCUGUAGCUGGUCUGAGAGGACGACCAGCCACACUGGGACUGAGACACGGCCCAGACUCCUACGGGAGGCAGCAGUGGGGAAUUUUGGACAAUGGGCGCAAGCCUGAUCCAGCAAUGCCGCGUGCAGGAUGAAGGCCUUCGGGUUGUAAACUGCUUUUGUACGGAGCGAAAAGGCUCUCUCUAAUACAGGGGGCUCAUGACGGUACCGUAAGAAUAAGCACCGGCUAACUACGUGCCAGCCGCCGCAGUAA